UAAUAUAAAUAUAAUUUAUUUGGUUAAAUUAAUAUUAUGUUAAUUAUAUUUAUUAUGUUUAAUUUUGAUUGGGGUGAUCAAGGAAUAAAAGUAAAUAUUAUUUAACUUCCUUAAAAUUUAAUUUUUUUUAGAAUAAUUAACCAAUGAUAUUGCUUAUAUGAUA
rnacentral:rRNA from 1 species